rnacentral:rRNA from 1 species
UACAGAGGUGGCAAGCGUUGUUCGGAAUUACUGGGCGUAAAGGGCGCGUAGGCGGUCCCGUCAGUCCCUUGUGAAAUCCCCCGGCUCAACUGGGGAACUGCAAGGGAUACAGCGGGGCUUGAGUUCGGGAGAGGGAAGCGGAAUUCCGGGUGUAGCGGUGAAAUGCGCAGAUAUCAGGAGGAACACCAGCGGCGAAGGCGGCGCUCUGGGCCGAUACUGACGCUGAGGAGCGAAAGCGUGGGGAGCGAACAGG